CCAAAUCAUACUCCAUUCUCGGUUUUCGCCUUUUCGUGCGAAUUAACCAUAUCUAUAUAUCGGAAUCAACCGGUUUAAGCUACGGCUAAUACAAGGACCGUUAGGAUUCUAAGAGGUUAAUUUAAAACCUUCGUUCCAGAUUAGGAGCCCCAGUAAAAGCUAUCGGUGACUUGAUCUAAAUUAAGGAUUAAUACUUGCAAAGGUAAAUACUUUUGACUUAUUUCCCCUAUAUGGGCUUGGGUUACGGUAAAUACUUUAACUUAUUUCCCCUAUAUGGGCUUGGGUUACGGUAUAUUAAUACCGCUUGAUUGAGCAUUAUAUAAUUCCAUCGCUUAGGUGGUUAAUUGAUUAAAUAUGAUCGGCUCAUUUAAACAGUUUUGUUGCUUAUAAGCCUUUGGGGGGUUUAAUGACCGUUGUCCCGGAUAUCCUUGGCAUCAUUUUACGAAAUGGCCACGACCAUCGACAUCCCGGUGUAGGCGUACACCCGGUAUAAAGUGUCGACAUUAAAAUUAAAAGACGUAGCCGUUGGUUUUUGUACUACGGUUUUACGCAAACGUGGUGUGUCUAUAAAUCUUUAACCCGGCACGACCCGGGCUACUGAACGCAUAAAAGAACAUGUAAAACGUUCACAAGAUUUUAUUAUAAUUUUCCCAAGUUAUAAAAGAGUUUGUGCCUUGUGCAUUCAAAUCAAUUUUAAUAAACAUUUUCAAAUGUGUCAGUUGAAUGUAUUUACCAGUGUAAACUGACGUAUUUUCCCCAAAA
rnacentral:lncRNA from 1 species